AAGAGUUUGAUCCUGGCUCAGAUUGAACGCUGGCGGCAUGCCUAACACAUGCAAGUCGAACGGAAACGAUGAAGAGCUUGCUCUUCAGGCGUCGAGUGGCGGACGGGGGCGUAACGCGUAGGAAUCUACCUUAUAGUGGGGGACAACUCGGGGAAACUCGAGCUAAUACCGCAUAAUCCUUACGAGGGAAAGCAGGGGAUCUUCGGACCUUGUGCUAUUAGAUGAGCCUGCGUCGGAUUAGCUAGUUGGUAGGGUAAUGGCCUACCAAGGCAACGAUCCGUAGCUGGUCUGAGAGGACGACCAGCCACACUGGGACUGAGACACGGCCCAGACUCCUACGGGAGGCAGCAGUGGGGAAUAUUGGACAAUGGGCGCAAGCCUGAUCCAGCAAUGCCGCGUGUGUGAAGAAGGCCUUAGGGUUGUAAAGCACUUUCAGUAGGGAAGAAAUGCGUGUAGUUAAUAACUGCGCGUCUUGACGGUACCUACAGAAGAAGCACCGGCUAACUCCGUGCCAGCAGCCGCGGUAAUACGGAGGGGGCAAGCGUUAAUCGGAAUUACUGGGCGUAAAGCGCGCGUAGGCGGCUAUAUAAGUCGGAUGUGAAAGCCCUGGGCUCAACCUGGGAACUGCAUUCGAUACUGUAUAGCUAGAGUUUGGUAGAGGGAAGUGGAAUUCCACAUGUAGCGGGGAAAUGCGUAGAUAUGUGGAGGAACACCAGUGGCGAAGGCGACUUCCUGGACCAAAACUGACGCUGAGGGGCGAAAGCGUGGGUAGCAAACAGGAUUAGAUACCCUGGUAGUCCACGCCGUAAACGAUGUCAACUAGCCGUUGGGGGAAUUUUUCCCUUAGUGGCGCAGCUAACGCGAUAAGUUGACCGCCUGGGGAGUACGGUCGCAAGAUUAAAACUCAAAGGAAUUGACGGGCU
rnacentral:rRNA from 1 species